UGUUGAAGAAUGAGCCGGCAACUUAUAGGUAGUGGCAGGUUAAGGUAGUGAAUACCGAAGCCAUAGUGAAAGCGAGCCUGAAUAGGGCGAUUGUCACUAGUUAUAGACCCGAACCCGGAUGAUCUAACCAUGGCCAGGAUGAAGCUUAGGUGAUACUAAGUGGAGGUCCGAACCGACUGAUGUUGAAAAAUCAGCGGAUGAGUUGUGGUUAGGGGUGAAAUGCCAAUCGAAUCCGGAGCUAGCUGGUUCUCCCCGAAAUGUGUUUAGGCGCAGCGGUUAAUGUUAUAGUUUAGGGGUAAAGCACUGUUUCGGUGCGGGCUGGUAAAACGGUACCAAAUCGAGGCAAACUAAGAAUACUAAAUGAAUAAUUAACCAGUAAGACUAUGGGGGAUAAGCUCCAUUGUCAAGAGGGAAACAGCCCAGACCACCAGCUAAGGCCCCUAAAUAAUUGCUAAGUGAUAAAGGAGGUGGGAAUGCAUAGACAACCAGGAGGUUUGCUUAGAAGCAGCAAUCCUUUAAAGAGUGCGUAAUAGCUCACUGGUCGAGUAGGCCUGCGCCGAAAAUGAAUGGGGCUAAGUAAUUUGCCGAAGCUGUGGGAUAUUUAUAAUAUCGGUAGGGGAGCGUUCUGUUCUAGGUUGAAGCAUUAACGUAAGUAGAUGUGGACGAAGCAGAAGUGAGAAUGUCGGCUUGAGUAGCGAAAACAUUGGUGAGAAUCCAAUGCCCCGAAAACCUAAGGUUUCCUUCGGAAGGCUCGUCCGCGGAGGGUAAGUCAGGACCUAAGGCGAGGCCGAGAGGCGUAGUCGAUGGACAACGGGUUGAUAUUCCCGUACUCGUG
rnacentral:rRNA from 1 species